GCCUGGCUGGCUCAGUCGGUGGAACAUGCAAUUCCUGAUCUCAGGGUUGUGGGUUCGAGCCCCACGUUGGGUG
rnacentral:tRNA from 1 species